rnacentral:rRNA from 1 species
CUUUACUCUAGUUUGGCACUGAGUCGUACAUAUAUUUGUGCAGGAUAGGUGGGAGGCGAUGAUGGUGGGACGCUAGUUCUACCGGAGCCAACGUUGAGAUACCACCCUUGUAUAUGUAUGCCUCUAACCCCGCACAGCGGGGGACCGUGCUUGAUGGGGAGUUUAACUGGGGCGGUUGCCUCCUAAAAUGUAACGGAGGCGCACAAAGGUAGGCUAGGUCCGGAUGGAAAUCGGACUCAUAGUGUAUUCGCACAAGCCUGCUUGACUGAGAGACCUACGAGUCGAUCAGAGACGAAAGUCGGUGAAAGUGAUCCGGCACCAACACGUGGGAGUGGUGUCGCUCAACGGAUAAAAGUUA